ACGCCUUGUUGUUGGGCAGCCUGC
rnacentral:siRNA from 1 species